UUAUGAGGUUGGUGCAAAAGUAAUUGCAGUUUUUGCCAUUACUUUCAAUGGUAAAAACCACAAUUACUUUAGCGCCAACCUAAAAC
rnacentral:miRNA from 1 species